UACGUAGGGGGCAAGCGUUGUCCGGAAUCAUUGGGCGUAAAGAGCGCGUAGGCGGCCCUGUAAGUCCGCUGUGAAAGUCCAGGGCUCAACCCUGGGAUGCCGGUGGAUACUGUCGGGCUCGAGUCCGGAAGAGGCGAGUGGAAUUCCUGGUGUAGCGGUGAAAUGCGCAGAUAUCAGGAGGAACACCAAUGGCGAAGGCAGCUCGCUGGGACGUGACUGACGCUGAGACGCGAAAGCGUGGGGAGCGAACAGG
rnacentral:rRNA from 1 species